AUACGGGGGGUGCAAGCGUUAUUCGGAUUUAUUGGGCGUAAAGGGCGCGUAGGCGGCUUGGAAAGUCAGAUGUGAAAGCCCGGGGCUCAACCCCGGAAGUGCAUUUGAAACUAUCAGGCUUGAGUAUGGGAGGGGGAAGUGGAAUUCCUGGUGUAGAGGUGAAAUUCGUAGAUAUCAGGAGGAACACCGGUGGCGAAGGCGACUUCCUGGACCAAUACUGACGCUGAGGCGCGAAGGCGUGGGGAGCAAACAGGAGUAGAAACCCCUGUAGUCC
rnacentral:rRNA from 1 species